rnacentral:rRNA from 1 species
AGUUUGAUGGCGACCGGCGCACGGGUGAGUAACACGUAUCCAACCUGCCGAUGACUCGGGGAUAGCCUUUCGAAAGAAAGAUUAAUACCCGAUGGCAUAGUUCUUCCGCAUGGUGGAACUAUUAAAGAAUUUCGGUCAUCGAUGGGGAUGCGUUCCAUUAGGUUGUUGGCGGGGUAACGGCCCACCAAGCCUUCGAUGGAUAGGGGUUCUGAGAGGAAGGUCCCCCACAUUGGAACUGAGACACGGUCCAAACUCCUACGGGAGGCAGCAGUGAGGAAUAUUGGUCAAUGGACGAGAGUCUGAACCAGCCAAGUAGCGUGAAGGAUGACUGCCCUAUGGGUUGUAAACUUCUUUUAUACGGGAAUAAAGUGAGGCACGUGUGCCUUUUUGUAUGUACCGCAUGAAUAAGGAUCGGCUAACUCCGUGCCAGCAGCCGCGGUAAUACGGAGGAUCCGAGCGUUAUCCGGAUUUAUUGGGUUUAAAGGGAGCGUAGGCAGACGCUUAAGUCAGUUGUGAAAGUUUGCGGCUCAACCGUAAAAUUGCAGUUGAUACUGGGUGUCUUGAGUACAGUAGAGGCAGGCGGAAUUCGUGGUGUAGCGGUGAAAUGCUUAGAUAUCACGAAGAACUCCGAUUGCGAAGGCAG